rnacentral:rRNA from 1 species
CACGUAGGGGACGAGCGUUGUCCGGAAUCAUUGGGCGUAAAGCGCGCGUAGGCGGCCCUGUAAGUCCGUUGUGAAAGUCAAAGGCUCAACCUUUGAAAGCCGAUGGAUACUGCAGGGCUAGAGUCCGGAAGAGGCGAGUGGAAUUCCUGGUGUAGCGGUGGAAUGCGCAGAUAUCAGGAGGAACACCAAUAGCGAAGGCAGCUCGCUGGGACGGUACUGACGCUGAGGCGCGAAAGCGUGGGGAGCGAACAGG